rnacentral:tRNA from 1 species
AGGGGUAUAGCUCAGUCGGCAGAGCGACGGUCUCCAAAACCGUAGGUCGCGGGUUCGAGUCCUGCUGCCCCUG